ACCUGGCUGACUUAGUUGGUAGAGCAUGAGACUCUGAAUCUCAGUGUUGUGAGUUCAAGCCCCAUGCUGGGCA
rnacentral:tRNA from 1 species